AUUGAACGCUGGCGGCAUGCUUUACACAUGCAAGUCGAACGGCAGCGGGGGCUUCGGCCUGCCGGCGAGUGGCGAACGGGUGAGUAAUGCAUCGGAACGUGCCCAUGUCGUGGGGGAUAACGUAUCGAAAGGUACGCUAAUACCGCAUACGUCCUGAGGGAGAAAGCGGGGGACCGUAAGGCCUCGCGCGAUUGGAGCGGCCGAUGUCGGAUUAGCUAGUUGGUGAGGUAAAGGCUCACCAAGGCGACGAUCCGUAGCGGGUCUGAGAGGAUGAUCCGCCACACUGGGACUGAGACACGGCCCAGACUCCUACGGGAGGCAGCAGUGGGGAAUUUUGGACAAUGGGGGCAACCCUGAUCCAGCCAUGCCGCGUGAGUGAAGAAGGCCUCGGUUGUAAGACGUCUUUCUAGGUGGAAAGAAAGUACACUACCCGAACUACGGUAGGUGGAGUGACGGUACCGACUCAGAAGAAGCACGGCUAACUACGUAGCCAGCAG
rnacentral:rRNA from 1 species